UGGGGAAGGAGUUCAGGUCUGCAGCCUUUCCUGCAAGGUCCACAAUGGUUCAAUAUCUCAUGCAGCUGGAUGUGUCGAGGAUGCACUGUGUGGAGAAAUGCCCUUUAAGGACAGCAUCCUGAGGCAACUGUGUUCUGUGCCUUGCACAGAGUGAUUGGGAGUGCCUCUCAUGGGUGGAGUCUGUGGUUGUCAGAAGAGCUAUACAGAGACAGUGAGAUCAAAUGGUUUCCUGGAUUACUGCAUGAAAGUGCCAGGCUCAGAGGAUAAAAAAGCUGAUGUGAAAAACCUUUCUGGGAAAAGCAGACCUGUGAAUUCAAAAAUACUAUAUUUUUAAAGGAUGGUCUCUUCAACCGCUUGAUCCAGAUGGCUGAGUAAACAUUUGGGUUUAUGGUGCUUCAGGUGGCGCUUUUCUUAUGGUGAUUUUCCUAAUGUUUACUUCCUACUUUGUUUGCUAUUUUUUUCAUCCCCGGUGUCUGCCUUUAAUAAUGUCCCUGUGGAAGUAGCACUCUUAUUUGGACCUAUUACACAUUUCCAUCUGCAGUGUAUGGCCAGAUUCGUCUUUCUGAAGCUUAGCUCCAGGGAUCAGCUCUCUCCUACUCACACAUGAGCUCUGGCUUCCCACCAACAGCAAAACUGAAGUCAUGCUUUGGCUGCCUCACCAGUUGACUGAAGUCUUCCACAACUGGAGCCCAACAACUCUUUCAAAUUUACCUUCUCCUAAUCCCCUGUGCCCUGUACAGGCUGGUGUGUUGUUGUAUAGGUCCAAACAUAUUUAAGUCUUCAUGU